rnacentral:rRNA from 1 species
CCUACGGGUGGCAGCAGUGAGGAAUAUUGGUCAAUGGCCGGAAGUCUGAACCAGCCAUGCCGCGUGAAGGUCAGUGCCCUAUUGGCGUUAAACUUCUUUUGUUCGGGAGCACUAAUGUUCACGUGUGGCCAGACUAUAUUACCGUUCGAAUCAGCAUCGGCUAACUCCGUGCCAGCAGCCGCGGUAAUACGGGGGGUGCAAGCGUUUACCGGAUUUUAUUGGGUUAAAGUGUGCGUAGGCUGUGAGGUAAGGCCGGGGUUAAAUGCCCCCGCGCAACGCGGUUAAGUGCAGUUGAUACUGGCUGGCUGGAGUGCGGAUGAGGUGGGAGGAAUGUGUGGUGUAGCGGUGAAAUGCAUAGAUAUCACAAAGAACACCGAUUGCGAAGGCAUCUCACGAAGCCGCGAUUGACGCUGAUGCACGAAAGCGUGGGUAUCAAACAGGAUUAGAUACCCGGGUAGUC